rnacentral:rRNA from 1 species
UCUACGGGAGGCAGCAGUGGGGAAUAUUGCACAAUGGGGGAAACCCUGAUGCAGCGACGCCGCGUGAGUGAAGAAGUAUUUCGGUAUGUAACGCUCUAUCAGCAGGGAAGAAAUAGCGACCUUUGGGUUGCCAGACGGUACCUGACUAAGAAGCCCCGGCUAACUACGUGCCAGCAGCCGCGGUAAUACGUAGGAUGCGAGCGUUAUCCGGAAUUAUUGGGUUUAAAGGGUGCGUCGGCGGAUCGUAAAGUCAGUGGUCAAAUUGAGGGACUCAACCCCUACCCGCCAUUGAAACUGGCGCUCUUGAGUGGAAGAGAAGUAUGCGGAAUGCGUGGUGUAGCGGUGAAAUGCAUAGAUAUCACGCAGAACCCCGAUUGCGAAGGCAGCAUGCCGGCUUCCGACUGACGCUGAAGCACGAAAGCGUGGGGAUCGAACAGGAUUAGAUACCCGAGUAGUC